GGCCCAAUGGUCUAGUAGUAUGAUUCGCGCUUCGGGCUGUUGCAUGUGCGCGAGGUCCCGGGUUCAAUUCCCGGUUGGGCCC
rnacentral:tRNA from 1 species